UAGGGAAUCUUCGGCAAUGGACGAAAGUCUGACCGAGCAACGCCGCGUGAGUGAAGAAGGUUUUCGGAUCGUAAAACUCUGUUGUUAGAGAAGAACAAGGACGUUAGUAACUGAACGUCCCCUGACGGUAUCUAACCAGAAAGCCACGGCUAACUACGUGCCAGCAGCCGCGGUAAUACGUAGGUGGCAAGCGUUGUCCGGAUUUAUUGGGCGUAAAGCGAGCGCAGGCGGUUUCUUAAGUCUGAUGUGAAAGCCCCGGCUCAACCGGGGAGGGUCAUUGGAAACUGGGAGACUUGAGUGCAGAAGAGGAGAGUGGAAUUCCAUGUGUAGCGGUGAAAUGCGUAGAUAUAUGGAGGAAAACCAGUGGCGAAGGCGGCUCUCUGGUCUGUAACUGACGCUGAGGCUCGAAAGCGUGGGGAGCAAACAGG
rnacentral:rRNA from 1 species